ACUCCUACGGGAGGCAGCAGUGGGGAAUAUUGCACAAUGGGCGCAAGCCUGAUGCAGCCAUGCCGCGUGUAUGAAGAAGGCCUUCGGGUUGUAAAGUACUUUCAGCAGUGAGGAAGGUGGGUAUGUUAAUAGCAUAUUCAUUUGACGUUAGCUGCAGAAGAAGCACCGGCUAACUCCGUGCCAGCAGCCGCGGUAAUACGGAGGGUGCGAGCGUUAAUCGGAAUUACUGGGCGUAAAGCGCAUGCAGGUGGUUUGUUAAGUCAGAUGUGAAAGCCCGGGGCUCAACCUCGGAAUUGCAUUUGAAACUGGCAAACUAGAGUACUGUAGAGGGGGGUAGAAUUUCAGGUGUAGCGGUGAAAUGCGUAGAGAUCUGAAGGAAUACCGGUGGCGAAGGCGGCCCCCUGGACAGAUACUGACACUCAGAUGCGAAAGCGUGGGGAGCAAACAGGAUUAGAUACCCCCCGUAGGCUCUGC
rnacentral:rRNA from 1 species